UGGAUCAGUAAUGAGUGGUUUAGGGGUAUAUUAAUCAAUAAUUCUGAUUAAACCCUGCACUCUGAAGUCCAU
ensembl:snoRNA SNORD113-1 small nucleolar RNA, C/D box 113-1